CCCAGUAACGGCGAGUGAAGCGGCAACAGCUCAAAUUUGAAAUCUGGUCCCCAGGGCCCGAGUUGUAAUUUGCAGAGGAUGCUUUUGGUGAGGUGCCUUCCGAGUUCCCUGGAACGGGACGCCAUAGAGGGUGAGAGCCCCGUCUGGUUGGAUACCGAGCCUCUGUAAAGCUCCUUCGACGAGUCGAGUAGUUUGGGAAUGCUGCUCUAAAUGGGAGGUAUAUGUCUUCUAAAGCUAAAUAUUGGCCAGAGACCGAUAGCGCACAAGUAGAGUGAUCGAAAGAUGAAAAGCACUUUGAAAAGAGGGUUAAAUAGUACGUGAAAUUGUUGAAAGGGAAGCACUUAUGACCAGACUUGGCCCCGGUGAAUCAUCCAGCGGUUCCCGCUGGUGCACUUUGCCGGGGUUCAGGCCAGCAUCAGUUCGCUCCGGGGGAUAAAGGCUUUGGGAAUGUGGCUCCCUCGGGAGUGUUAUAGCCCAUUGCGCAAUACCCUGUGGCGGGCUGAGGUUCGCGCUUUAUGCAAGGAUGCUGGCAUAAUGGUCAUCAGUGACCCGUCUUGAAACACGGACCAAGGAGUCGUCUUCGUAUGCGAGUGUUCGGGUGUUAAACCCCUACGCGUAAUGAAAGUGAACGCAGGUGAGAGCCCUCCAGGGCGCAUCAUCGACCGAUCCUGAUGUUCUCGGAUGGAUUUGAGUAAGAGCAUACGGGGCCGGACCCGAAAGAAGGUGAACUAUGCCUGUAUAGGGUGAAGCCAGAGGAAACUCUGGUGGAGGCUCGCAGCGGUUCUGACGUGCAAAUCGAUCGUCAAAUAUGGGCAUGGGGGCGAAAGACUAAUCGAACCUUCUAGUAGCUGGGUUCCGCCGA
rnacentral:rRNA from 1 species